UGGGGAAUAUUGCACAAUGGGCGCAAGCCUGAUGCAGCCAUGCCGCGUGUAUGAAGAAGGCCUUCGGGUUGUAAAGUACUUUCAGCGAGGAGGAAGGCGUUGUGGUUAAUAACCGCAGCGAUUGACGUUACUCGCAGAAGAAGCACCGGCUAACUCCGUGCCAGCAGCCGCGGUAAUACGGAGGGUGCAAGCGUUAAUCGGAAUUACUGGGCGUAAAGCGCACGCAGGCGGUCAGUCAAGUCGGAUGUGAAAUCCCCGGGCUCAACCUGGGAACUGCAUCCGAAACUGGCAGGCUAGAGUCUUGUAGAGGGGGGUAGAAUUCCAGGUGUAGCGGUGAAAUGCGUAGAGAUCUGGAGGAAUACCGGUGGCGAAGGCGGCCCCCUGGACAAAGACUGACGCUCAGGUGCGAAAGCGUGGGGAGCAAACA
rnacentral:rRNA from 1 species